GUCAUAGUCCCUCCAUCCCAAAAUUCUUGCCUUAGGUUUGUCUAAAAUGAAUGUACCUAAAUACUAAAACAUGACUAGAUACAUUUAUAUUUAGACAAAUUUAAGACAAGAAUUUUGGGACGGAGGGAGUACUUG
rfam:Hordeum vulgare subsp. vulgare, WGS project CAJW01000000 data, contig: morex_contig_51044